GGGCGCAAGCCUGAUCCAGCCAUUCCGCGUGAGUGAAGAAGGCCUUCGGGUUGUAAAGCUCUUUCGCAAGGGAAGAAACGGUGCAGACGAAUAAUCUGUGCUAAUGACGGUACCUUGAUAAGAAGCACCGGCUAACUACGUGCCAGCAGCCGCGGUAAUACGUAGGGUGCGAGCGUUAAUCGGAAUUACUGGGCGUAAAGCGUGCGCAGGCGGUUUUGUAAGUCAGAUGUGAAAUCCCCGAGCUCAACUUGGGAACUGCGUUUGAAACUACAAGGCUAGAGUAUGGUAGAGGGGGGUAGAAUUCCACGUGUAGCAGUGAAAUGCGUAGAGAUGUGGAGGAAUACCAAUGGCGAAGGCAGCCCCCUGGACUAAUACUGACGCUCAUGCACGAAAGCGUGGGGAGCAAACAGGAUUAGAUACCCUGGUAGUCCACGCCCUAAACGAUGUCUACUAGUUGUUGGGAGAGUAAAAUCUCUUAGUAACG
rnacentral:rRNA from 1 species